UUUGUAAUGUGUCUAGGAGGAGAGCCUUCCGGAAAAGGCAAAGAAGUCGUACCCGACGAGUAGUGAUCGGGGCGCUUAGAAAGCUUUUAGUUUGUACAAACAGUGAGUAAACUUAUUAUUAUUGUAAAUUAUCUAGAGUUUAUUUUUAAAUGCCCUUUAUGUAUUUUAUGAAAUGAAAACGGGAUUUUUGAUGUUUUAGGAAUAAAUGUGAUAAAUAAAAAUAUAUUGUAUUGAUUAUGAAAUUGAGUAAUUGGAGGCUACAAAUUGACUUGAAAAAUAUAUAUUUUCCUAGGAAUGGCUUAUGAGAAAUGAGUAUAUGUGGCUAUAUUUUGUGAAUGCAUUGGGAAAUUUAUGUAAGUUGUUUUACUAUGCAGGCUGGAUAAAUAAAUAAAAGCCACGUUAUACUGUCGAAAUUUUAUUAAAAUUGGUGGGUUAGUCACUACAGUGACGGGUUUCCGUGGACUGCCUAUUAGAGGGGCACGGUAAACCCAGUUAUAUAGUUACUCCGGUUGUAGAGGCGAGGAGGGUAACUCCCGGGGUAGUAUUAGAACUCACUUCACGUCGAACCCCCACGUGAAUGUGUAACUCGGCCAACGCCAAGGAAUGGCUGGUUUUUAAAAAUAAAAAUGUGUUUCACGUGUGAAUAUUUUAACACCCUUGGCGGACUCGGUUAGAUGCCUCGGUCAAGGUAUCCCCGAGGAUUAGUUUUGGCUUGAGCCUUGUUUUAAUAAAAGACAAAAGCCUUAACAACUGUUUUGGUAAAUUACAAAUAUUUUAUGGUUUAAGAAAUAAAUUGGAAACAUUAUGAAAUGGGUUGAAAUUUGUUGUUUAAACUUGCCUCCAUUUUACUCGCCUUUAGAUAUUUAUGAUAAUGUCUGU
rnacentral:lncRNA from 1 species